GACGAACGCUGGCGGCGUGCUUAACACAUGCAAGUCGAACGGUAAGGCCCUUCGGGGUACACGAGUGGCGAACGGGUGAGUAACACGUGGGUGAUCUGCCCUGCACUUCGGGAUAAGCCUGGGAAACUGGGUCUAAUACCGGAUAGGACUCCUGGCUUCAUGGUUGGGGGUGGAAAGCUUUUGCGGUGUGGGAUGGGCCCGCGGCCUAUCAGCUUGUUGGUGGGGGAAUGGCCUACCAAGGCGACGACGGGUAGCCGGCCUGAGAGGGUGACCGGGCACACUGGGACUGAGAUACGGCCCAGACUCCUACGGGAGGCAGCAGUGGGGAAUAUUGCACAAUGGGCGCAAGCCUGAUGCAGCGACGCCGCGUGAGGGAUGACGGCCUUCGGGUUGUAAACCUCUUUCAGCUAUGACGAAGCGCAAGUGACGGUAGUAGCAGAAGAAGGACCGGCCAACUACGUGCCAGCAGCCGCAGUAA
rnacentral:rRNA from 1 species